rnacentral:rRNA from 1 species
GACGAACCGUACGAACGUUAUUCGGAAUUACUGGGCUUAAAGGGUGCGUAGGCGGCGCAGUAAGUUGGGUGUGAAAUCCCUCGGCUUAACCGAGGAAUUGCGCCCAAAACUACUGUGCUCGAGGGAGAUAGAGGUGAGCGGAACUUAGGGUGGAGCGGUGAAAUGCGUUGAUAUCCUAAGGAACACCGGUGGCGAAGGCAGCUCGCUGGGACGGUACUGACGCUGAGGCGCGAAAGCGUGGGGAGCGAACAGG